AAAAACGAACACCGAAACGUCGUUCCGAAACGAAGAAACAACGAACUUCGGAUUUAACCCUACUACCAAAUUACUUCGUAUCCGUCAUCGUUCCUUUCGGAACCAUAAACAAUCGUUCGAAUGAAAAUAUUGUGUCGGAUUAGAGAUGUAUAUCUUCAAAAACCGUAAAUUUUUACCUACUAUGAUAUUCUUGUGAAAAAAACAUAUAAAUUCGAUGUCUAAUUAGGUUUUCUGUAAUAUAACUAGUAUUUCAUAACUCUAAAUAUUUAUUAGUUAUAAAAUAACAAAUGUUUUUGUUGAUUUUGCAAUCUACGAUCUUAUUGCAUAAUGUUUUAAUCUGUGGAAUAUUAGAAUUUUUGACAAUUGAUGGACAUUGACAAGUUGACUGGCGAAAAUCACAACAAAUUGGAAUUGUAAUUUACAAGUAAAAUUAUUUAUUGUAUUGUUUCAAGGAGAGUACGACGACGAGUGCACCCAGCGACACAGGCGGACCUCUAAUCGGGUCCUUCGCAUUGACUGAACUGAAAAAAAA
rnacentral:lncRNA from 1 species